rnacentral:rRNA from 1 species
UACGGAGGGUGCAAGCGUUAUCCGGAUUUACUGGGUUUAAAGGGUGCGUAGGUGGGUAAGUAAGUCAGUGGUGAAAUCUUCGAGCUUAACUCGGAAACUGCCAUUGAUACUAUUUAUCUUGAAUACUCUGGAGGUAAGCGGAAUAUGUCAUGUAGCGGUGAAAUGCUUAGAUAUGACAUAGAACACCAAUUGCGAAGGCAGCUUACUACAUAGUUAUUGACACUGAGGCACGAAAGCGUGGGGAUCAAACAGG